rnacentral:rRNA from 1 species
CUAACACACGCAAGUCGAGCGGAAACGACACUAACAAUCCUUCGGGUGCGUUAAUGGGCGUCGAGCGGCGGACGGGUGAGUAAUGCCUAGGAAAUUGCCUUGAUGUGGGGGAUAACCAUUGGAAACGAUGGCUAAUACCGCAUGAUGCCUACGGGCCAAAGAGGGGGACCUUCGGGCCUCUCGCGUCAAGAUAUGCCUAGGUGGGAUUAGCUAGUUGGUGAGGUAAUGGCUCACCAAGGCGACGAUCCCUAGCUGGUCUGAGAGGAUGAUCAGCCACACUGGAACUGAGACACGGUCCAGACUCCUACGGGAGGCAGCAGUGGGGAAUAUUGCACAAUGGGCGAAAGCCUGAUGCAGCCAUGCCGCGUGUAUGAAGAAGGCCUUCGGGUUGUAAAGUACUUUCAGUUGUGAGGAAGGGUGUGUAGUUAAUAGCUGCGCAUCUUGACGUUAGCAACAGAAGAAGCACCGGCUAACUCCGUGCCAGCAGCCGCGGUAAUACUGAGGGUGCGAGCGUUAAUCGGAAUUACUGGGCGUAAAGCGCAUGCAGGUGGUUCAUUAAGUCAGAUGUGAAAGCCCGGGGCUCAACCUCGGAACUGCAUUUGAAACUGGUGAACUAGAGUACUGUAGAGGGGGGUAGAAUUUCAGUGUAGCGGUGAAAUGCGUAGAGAUCUGAAGGAAUACCAGUGGCGAAGGCGGCCCCCUGGACAGAUACUGACACU